AGCUCGAUCCUGGCUCAGAUUGAACGCUGGCGGGAUGCUUUUUACACAUGCAAGUCGAACGGCAGCACGGACUUCGGUCUGGUGGCGAGUGGCGAACGGUGAGUAAUGUAUCGGAACGUGCCUAGUAGCGGGGGAUAACUACGCGAAAGCGUAGCUAAUACCGCAUACUGGCCCUUCGGGGAAAGCGGGGACCUUCGGGCCUCGCACUAGAGCGGCCGAUAUCGGAUUAGCGCACAGGGUAACGGUCGCCAACAAGGCGACGAUCCGUAGCUGGUUUGAGAGGACGACCAGCCACACUGGGACUGAGACACGGCCCAGACUCCUACGGAGGCAGCAGUGGGAAUUUUGGACAAUGGGGGAAACCCUGAUCCAGCCAUCCCGCGUGCGAUGAAGUGUCUUCGGGUUGUAAAGCACUUUUUGAGAGAAAGAAAUGGCACGACACACCAGCAACUGACGGUACCUGCAGAAUAAGCACCGGCUAACUACGCCGCAGCCGCGGUAAUACGUAGGGUGCAAGCGUUAAUCGGAAUUACUGGGCGUAAAGCGUGCGCAGGCGGUUCGGAAAGAAAGAUGUGAAAUCCUGUGAGCUUAAUUCUGGAACUGCAUUUUUAACUACCGACAGAGUGCCGAGGGAGGUGGAAUUCCGCGUGUAGCAGUGAAAUGCGUAGAUAUGUGAUGAAACAAUCGAUGGCGAAGGCAGCCUCCUGGGAUAACACUGACGCUCAUGCACGAAAGCGUAGGAGCAAACAGGAUUAGAUAUUCCGUAGUCCACGCCCCAAACGAUGUCAACUAGCUGUUGGGGCCUUCGCCUGGUAGCGCAGCCAACGCGUGAAGUUGACCGCCUGGGAGUACGGUCGCAAAGAUUAAAACUCAAAGGAAUUGACGGGGACCCGCACGCGGUGGAUGAUGGAUUAAUUGAUGCAACGCGAAAAAACCUUACCUACCCUGACAUGUCUGAAUCCCGAAGAGAUUUGGGAGUGCUCGCAAGAGAACCGGAACACAGGUGCUGCAUGGCUGUCGUCAGCUCGUGUCGAGAUGCUGGGUUAUGUCCCGCACCGAGCGCAACCCUUGUCAUUAGUUGCUACGAAAGGGCACUCUAAUGACUGCCGGUGACAAACCGGAGGAAGGGUGGGGAUGACGUCAAGUCCUCAUGGCCCUAUGGGCAGGGCUUCACGUCAUACAAUGGUCGGGACAGAGGGUCGCCAACCCGCGAGGGGGACAAUCCAGAAACCUGAUCGUAGUCCGAUCGCAGUCUGCAACUCGACUGCGUGAAGUCGGAAUCGCUAGUAAUCGCGGAUCAGCAUGGCCAGGUGAAUACGUUCCCGGGUCUUGUACACACUCGCCCGUCACACCAUGGGAGUGGGUUUUACCAUAGUUAGCCCAACCGUAAGGAGGGCGAUUACCACGGUAGGAUUCAUGACUGGGGUGAAGUCGUAACAAGGUAA
rnacentral:rRNA from 1 species